AUGCCUCUAAUUACUGCCCAGCUGCAUGUUUGGAACUCCAUCAAACAUAAGCAUCAGAGCCAUUAGCCUGAGAACCUGGACUAGCCUGGGGACAUGAGCCUAUGUUUGAGUUUUAGGUCAUUGGAAUGAACGGCAUGUGACAAUCAGCCUUUGAAACCUGAGGGAGGGCGCCUUCUGACUUGAAAAUGCCCUGUGGUGAUGAGCAGACUGCAGGCAAUCAGCAGGUAUAAUGCAUCAGAGCACAAAAUGGACGGCUUUACUGCAGCACAAGGAAGCAAAGUAGUUAUUUAGAAAAGUUGCACCAUACUGGUACAAGAAAAGCUAGGCCUUUUCCAGGGAUUACCUAGGGGAAGUGCCUGCUGUAUCAGAGAAAACUUUUAGAGAUCUCUGUAGGGGGCAGGGAGGAAGGUUUGCUGACUAACAAAUACUUAACACCCAGCCUUGCCUUAGGCAGAUAUGCAGCAGGUCAUCCCUCUGUACCUUCCCUUUCUGACCAUUUUCUUGACUUCCUUUCUGGCUUUCAUAUCCCACCUCACCACCAUCCGUGCUACAGAAGCAGCAUUGGGUGGCACAUGGGAUCUCUUUGAGACUCAGGAGUCACUUCAGCUUCCAGAUCAGAGGAAAAUGAAGACCAGCAAUCUCCCCCUGAAGAUGACACUCAUUGACAGAGACUACAAUCUAAUGGAGACCGUCAACCCUAUAGAAGAUUCCAGAGUCAAGAUUAGUACACAGAUGAGGAAGACCAACACUCCAAAAGAUAGCGAACUCAAUCAAGUCAAGCAAAGCAGGAAUUAAGAAUAUGCAUAAGUAGAUUUUUCCAAUAGAUGGGUGGGGAUAGAGCAGUCACAAACCAACCAACUAGAUGUCAUGGAGAUUUAAACUUGGUCCUUGUAAUAAAAAACUGAAUAAGCAGAUGAAACAGAUUUUUUUCUGAAAUUUAAUUUUACUGUAACAAAGACUAAUGUAUGCCUUAUAACCUAGGGACUAGUGAUUGUUCAUAAGUUUAGUAGUUCACUUUUUUUGGAAAGCACAUAACAAUAUUCACAUAAGACAUUAUAGAAAGUAUUUUGAAGAAUGAAAAGUUUUCCAUAAUCCUUUUCAAAAGGCUUGGUCUAUUUUGAAAAAUUGAUAAUGGAAAGCAAAAUUGAAAGAAAGAAAAAUGUUUUUACCCCUGAAUACAUAAGAAACACUUGCCGCUAUUUGUAUUUUAAGUAUCUAGAGCAAAAUGGGCCGAAUUGUUUAAAGGCAGCCAGUAAUAGUUUGUAUAAGGACUUGCUUUAUUUAAUUUAGCACCAUCUCAAAUUAGAGUAAUAAGAUUUAGUCUGGUUUCUCCCAGCCUCUCAUAUCGCCCCACUCCUACCAAGCCACAGCAUAUAAGCACACAUCUUCCUAAUCCUACCUAAGGAAUCUAAAAUGAUUAUUUAAAAAUGGCUGCUCGCAUUAUUCACACUGGCAAGAUUUUUUUCCCCUUAAGCUAGAAUGUGGAUGAUGGCUGAUAGGUAGGAGCUUCUUUGAUCAGGAAUAAAGAACAUCAUCUUUAGCAAACUCAAUUUCCUGGUCCUUGCUAACCUGUUAUACAGGUUUAUUGCUACAUCCGUUUAGUAAUUAUGACUACUAUUUUUGUCAAGGAGAUUUCCCACUAGGCCUGACUGAUCUAUUUCUAAAUCCUAAUGGCAAAGAAUAUGUAUUUUAUGUAGUGUCAUAAGUUUUCUGUUUUACUUAUUCUUCUUAUUGUGAUACUUUGUUACUCAUCAAAACAUAGUGAUCAACAAGAGAACUGGCAGGUAGAUCCUAAAGCAUACAUUUCUUAACCUGAAUAACAUCUGCAAACAUAAGACAUCAACUAUGUUUUCCAUGAAAGAAAAUGCAUUCAGGUUUGGUGCUUAUACAAGAAUUUAUAUUCCAAUGUGAUUUCUAACAAAUCAUAACUCUUGUGAACAUGUCUUUUCAGAAGAAAAUACGUCCUAUGAAAGUAAUAUUUUCCUAAACGUUGAUACAUUUUUUUAUAGUGAAUGGAAAAUUUUGAGUAAACUGAAGUUAUGUUUAACAACAAAAUUAACAUAGCCUGACUGGUUUCUUCAUUUAAAGGCAGAGGUACAUUUGCAUUCUUCAGUGGAUCUGUAAAUUCAGUUAUUUUUUUCUGGAAUUUUAUACAGAUAGAUAGCAUCUCACACAACCAUGUCCCCUGUGUUAAAAAUGUCUUUUUUGUCAUUGGGUUAUGCAGAAGUUUCUGAUGUGACACUUUCUCCAAAUUGUUAUAAUGUAAUUUUUUACUUUUCCAGAAAACUGUGAAACCUUAGCAGUCACUUAUUCUUACUAAACAAAAGUUAGAUUACUACUAAUUGCUCUUUUUACUUUUGGUCUCAAAGAAUUUUUUAAAGUUUAGACAUCUCUGAUGUUUUUGAAUUGCACACCCAUAGAAGACAACUAGAGAAAACACACUAGACAAUUUCAAAAGAGAAUUCUUUUUUUUUUUUUUUUUU
rnacentral:lncRNA from 1 species